rnacentral:rRNA from 1 species
GUUGUAUGGUUAAGUGACUAAGCGUACACGGUGGAUGCCUUGGCAGUCAGAGGCGAUGAAAGGCGUAAUAACUUGCGAUAAGCCCAGAUUAGGUAGUAAUAACCUUUUGAGUCUGGGAUUCCUGAAUGGGGAAACCCACUUACAUAAGUAAGUAUCCUGUUGUGAAUACAUAGCAACAGGAGGCAAACCGGGGGAACUGAAACAUCUAAGUACCCCGAGGAAGAGAAAUCAACCGAGAUUCCGAAAGUAGCGGCGAGCGA